GGAUCGAUGGUGUAGUUGGUUAUCACGUUCGUCUCACAUGGACCAGACUGGUGCGUCUCAACCGUAUCGGUCUGAUCUGCAUGCCCAUGUGCACGAGAGGUCUCCAGUUCGAACCUGGAUCGAUCCA